GAACCAGUACCGUGAGGGAAAGGUGAAAAGCACCCCGGAAGGGGAGUGAAAUAGAACCUGAAACCGUGUGCUUACAAGUAGUCAGAGCCCGUUAAUGGGUGAUGGCGUGCCUUUUGUAGAAUGAACCGGCGAGUUACGAUUUGAUGCAAGGUUAAGCAGUAAAUGUGGAGCCGUAGCGAAAGCGAGUCUGAAUAGGGCGUUUAGUAUUUGGUCGUAGACCCGAAACCAGGUGAUCUACCCUUGGUCAGGUUGAAGUUCAGGUAACACUGAAUGGAGGACCGAACCGACUUACGUUGAAAAGUGAGCGGAUGAACUGAGGGUAGCGGAGAAAUUCCAAUCGAACCUGGAGAUAGCUGGUUCUCUCCGAAAUAGCUUUAGGGCUAGCCUCAAGUGAUGAUUAUUGGAGGUAUAGCACUGUUUGGACGAGGGGCCCCUCUCGGGUUACCGAAUUCAGACAAACUCCGAAUGCCAAUUAAUUU
rnacentral:rRNA from 1 species